AGAGUUUGAUCAUGGCUCAGGACGAACGCUGGCGGCGUGCUUAACACAUGCAAGUCGAGCGGAAAGGCCCUUCGGGGUACUCGAGCGGCGAACGGGUGAGUAACACGUGAGCAACCUGCCCUUAGCUUCGGGAUAGCUCCGGGAAACCGGAAUUAAUACCGGAUAUGAAUGUGGUUGACAUCAACUACAUUGGAAAGUUUUUCGGCUAGGGAUGGACUCGCGGCCUAUCAGCUAGUUGGUGAGGUAACGGCCCACCAAGGCGACGACGGGUAGCCGGCCUGAGAGGGCGACCGGCCACACUGGGACUGAGACACGGCCCAGACUCCUACGGGAGGCAGCAGUGGGGAAUAUUGCGCAAUGGGCGAAAGCCUGACGCAGCGACGCCGCGUGGGGGAUGAAUGCCUUCGGGUUGUAAACCCCUUUCAGCAGGGACGAAGCGAAAGUGACGGUACCUGCAGAAGAAGCGCCGGCUAACUACGUGCCAGCAGCCGCGGUAACACGUAGGGCGCGAGCGUUGUCCGGAAUUAUUGGGCGUAAAGAGCUCGUAGGUGGUUUGUUACGUCCGCUGUGAAAACCUAGGGCUUAACCCUGGGCUUGCAGUGGAUACGGGCAGACUAGAGGUAGGUAGGGGAGAAUGGAAUUCCUGGUGUAGCGGUGAAAUGCGCAGAUAUCAGGAGGAACACCGGUGGCGAAGGCGGUUCUCUGGGCCUUACCUGACACUGAGGAGCGAAAGCGUGGGGAGCAAACAGGAUUAGAUACCCUAGUAGUCC
rnacentral:rRNA from 1 species